UAGUUUAAGUUAUAUUCAUAUUAAAUUAGUUGAAACUUGUUUUUGUACUUAAGUACCCACCUAGCACUUUUAUUUUAACUAAAAGAAUAUAUGAAGUCAUAUUAUUAAACAUUUAUUAUGUAAGUAGGUACCUAUUUUCCCCUUUCUCCUCCAUCAAAGCGUAAACUUGAGGUUAGAGUUUAGGAGCGGCUAUUGUUAGAUAGGUACCUAAGGAUAGGAUUGGUCACUAUCUAUACGAUAUAUCGACAUAUUACCUAUAUUUUAACAUUUAAUUCCUAUACCAUAGUGGGUGUUAGUAAGUAAAUACGAAUUCCCCAUGCACCCACUACUCUAAUGGGAGUAGCCGGUGGGUCGCGGGUCGUCCACCGAUUUUCCUUACUACUUUUCAGAUUUUAAUUUGCCUCCUAAGUGUUGAUUGCAAUAAUCUUACAGCUUAUUAUCUACUGCUUGCUUGCAUAAUAAUUGCAUUAAUUAUUGCAUGUAACAAUGCAAGCUAGCUAUAUUUCUAUAUAAAUAUGUAGGUAUGUAUAUAGGAAUAUAUAUACUAAAUAGAAAUGUAUCCA